GCUUCAAAAGGCGGAGCGUCUACCAGGCCACAUAAAAGCUAUCCAAUGGUACGCAUUGUAGGCGGUCAUCAUCAACAUCAGCAUCUUGUAAAUCCGCUCCAGCCAAUGACCAUGGAUAGAUCGUCCUAUGAUAUAACCCUGAAGGAAUUACUUGUCUGAAUAUGAGAGGUUCAUUGGUGCUGCUCUUGCUAAUUUCCCAAGAGCGGUCCUCCACCAUCAGUGCUGGAAAUUGAUUCUGACUCGGUUACAGUAGUUUACGCCAAGCUCUCUUCGUCACUUCCCUUACAAUCUUAGUACUCUGGAUUUACUGGAAUCUGAUGACGAUUAACAUGCUUGCUGCACAUCGCCACUAUCAUUCAGCUAGUCGCCAGAUUGUUCUCUCCUGGUGGGAGCGCUAAAGCUUAUCCGUCCCUUAUCUCAAUUCCCAUGUAACCCUGUCUUGUUGUAGCAGAAUUGGAUUAAGGCUUCUGGUCAGAGGGCCUCUGGAAAGGCUAGGGAUGUAUGAUGCCUGGAACCGGAACGUCGAAGGGAAGCUGUGACACCAAAGGAUACUAGGCGAGAUGGUGCUGCUUCGGGUCUACAGGUAAGUGACAGCUGGUGGGUACCAAAAUCCGUAUUCUGGGGAUACCAACGAACAGUAAGUGAUGCAUCUGGCUUUGGCUUUUGAGGAGUAUUGCAUAUAUCUCCACUUAUUAGUUUUAGAGGAACUCCCUUAUACCUGAUACCUUUUUGAGUAUAGGACAGAAAUUCUUAGUGUUAGAGGAACUCCCUUAUACCUGAUACCUUUUUGAGUAUAGGACAGAAACAGAGACCUUAGCGUUUCUUGAAGACAGAAACAGAGACCUUAGCGUUUCUUGAAGACAGAAACAGAGACCUUGUUUUCGCCGUAGCGGAAGAGAAAACCCAAAAUGUAAUAACAGAGUUUUUAAGCAGGAAAGGAAAGCUAUGGAAAGCAAAGCAAAGGCGAAGUCAAGAGCAGAGCAAGAGUUAGAAAGUAACAAGCACUCUCUUUCUUACACUGAUCAUGUAAACGGAGACCCUAUAGAAUAGAAUCGAUGUUCGACGGAAUGGAAUUCCAGAAUGGAAUGAAGUAUACAACUUCUUGAAAAGAGUCACCUAAGACUGGAACACUCCGAGACUAAUGCACCCCUGCAACAAAAAGAAAUACAUGUGAGCCCUCGACUUGAAGUCCAUUCUUGGACUAGUGGGUA
rnacentral:lncRNA from 1 species